AAGGGAUGUAAUAUCCCGUAACUCGUAUAU
rnacentral:guide_RNA from 1 species